GAGUUUGAUCCUGGCUCAGAUUGAACGCUGGCGGCAUGCCUUACACAUGCAAGUCGAACGGCAGCACGGGUGCUUGCACCUGGUGGCGAGUGGCGAACGGGUGAGUAAUACAUCGGAACAUGUCCAGUAGUGGGGGAUAGCCCGGCGAAAGCCGGAUUAAUACCGCAUACGAUCCAUGGAUGAAAGCGGGGGAUCGCAAGACCUCGCGCUAUUGGGGUGGCCGAUGGCGGAUUAGCUAGUUGGUGGGGUAAAGGCUCACCAAGGCGACGAUCCGUAGCUGGUCUGAGAGGACGACCAGCCACACUGGGACUGAGACACGGCCCAGACUCCUACGGGAGGCAGCAGUGGGGAAUUUUGGACAAUGGGGGCAACCCUGAUCCAGCAAUGCCGCGUGUGUGAAGAAGGCCUUCGGGUUGUAAAGCACUUUUGUCCGGAAAGAAAACCCUUUCGAUAAUACCGGAGGGGGAUGACGGUACCGGAAGAAUAAGCACCGGC
rnacentral:rRNA from 1 species